AUGACUUCCUACAGCUAUCUCCAGUCGUCCGCAACCUCGUCCUUCCAGGAUCUGCGCGGCGGCUCCGUACAUUUUCGGGCUGCGCGUAGCGUUUCGCGCGUUCAGCAUGCACCGGGAGUUCCAGCGGCCGCGACGUGUCUGUGUCCUCCGCCGGCUUCGUGUCCUCGUCCUCCUCGGGGGGCUACGGCGGCGUCCUGGCCGCGUCUAACGGGCUGCUGGCGGGCAAGGAGCUCACCAGGCAGAACCUCAAGGACCGCCUGGCCGCCUAUCUGUACAAGGUGCGCGCCCUGGCGGCAGCCAACGGCGAACUGGAGGUGAAGAUCCGCAACUUGUACCCGAAGCAGGGGCCCGGGCCCUCCCGCGGCUACAACCACUACUACAAGACCAUCCAGGACUUGCCACCAUUGAGAACUCCAGGAUUGUCCUGCAGAUCGACAGCGCCCGUCUAGCUGCAGAUGACUUGCGAAACAAGUUGGAGAAGGAGUAGGCUCUGUACAUGAGCGUGGAGGUCGACAUCAAUGGCAUGCGCAGGGUGCUGGACGAACUGACCCUGGCCACGACAGACCUGGAAAUGCAGAUUGAAGGCCUGAAGGAAUAGCUGGCCUACCUGUAGAAGAACCGUGAGGAGGAAAUGAGUGCGCUGAGGGGUCAAGGGGGAGGCCAGGUCAGUGUGGAGGUGGAUUCGGCUCCGGACACCGAUCUCACCAAAAUCCUGAGUGACAUGCGAAGCCAAUACGAAGUCAUGGCCGAGAAGAACUGGAAGGAUGCUGAAGCCUGGUUCACCAGCCGGACUGAAUAAUCGCUGGUCACAUGGAGCAGCUCCAGAUGAGCAGGUCUGAGGUCGCUGACCUGUGGCGCUCUCUCCAGGGUCUUGAGAUGGAGCUGCAGUCACAGCUGGGCAUGAAAGCCGCCUUGGAAGGCACACUGGCAGAAACUGAGUCUCCCUUUGGAGCCCAAUUAGUGCAGAUCCAGGCGCUGAUCAUUGGUAAUGAAGCCCAGCUGGGCGAUGUUCGAGCGGCAGAAUCAGGAGUACCAGCGGCUCAUGGACAUCAAAUCGUGGCUGGAGCAGAUCACCACCUAAUGCAGCUUGGUCAAGGUCCAGGAAGAUCACACUGCAACAGACUGUCCGCCUCCAAGGUCCUCUGAGGCUGCAGGCUCUGGGGCUUCUGCUGUCCUUCGGAGGGUGUCUCCUGGGUAGGGGUAGGGGAAGGAAGGGACCUUUACCCCCAGCUCUUCCCCUGACCUGCCAAUAAAAUUUUAUGGCCCAAGG